rnacentral:rRNA from 1 species
GAUGAACGCUGGCGGCGUGCCUAAUACAUGCAAGUCGAGCGAACGGACGAGAAGCUUGCUUCUCUGAUGUUAGCGGCGGACGGGUGAGUAACACGUGGAUAACCUACCUAUAAGACUGGGAUACUUCGGGAAACCGGAGCUAAUACCGGAUAAUAUUUUUAACCGCAUGGUUCAAAAGUGAAAGACGGUCUUGCUGUCACUUAUAGAUGGAUCCGCGCUGCAUUAGCUAGUUGGUAAGGUAACGGCUUACCAAGGCAACGAUGCAUAGCCGACCUGAGAGGGUGAUCGGCCACACUGGAACUGAGACACGGUCCAGACUCCUACGGGAGGCAGCAGUAGGGAAUCUUCCGCAAUGGGCGAAAGCCUGACGGAGCAACGCCGCGUGAGUGAUGAAGGUCUUCGGAUCGUAAAACUCUGUUAUUAGGGAAGAACAUAUGUGUAAGUAACUGUGCACAUCUUGACGGUACCUAAUCAGAAAGCCACGGCUAACUACGUG